CGUAAGGACAUGUGGAGCGCUUAGAAGUGAGAAUGCCGGUGUGAGUAGCGAAAGAUGGGUGAGAAUCCCGUCCACCGAUUGACUAAGGUUUCCAGAGGAAGGCUCGUCCGCUCUGGGUUAGUCGGGUCCUAAGCUGAGGCCGACAGGCGUAGGCGAUGGAUAACAGGUUGAUAUUCCUGUACCACCUAUAAUCGUUUUAAUCGAUGGGGGGACGCAGUAGGAUAGGCGAAGCGUGCGAUUGGAUUGCACGUCUAAGCAGUAAGGCUGAGUAUUAGGCAAAUCCGGUACUCGUUAAGGCUGAGCUGUGAUGGGGAGAAGACAUUGUGUCUUCGAGUCGUUGAUUUCACACUGCCGAGAAAAGCCUCUAGAUAGAAAAUAGGUGCCCGUACCGCAAACCGACACAGGUAGUCAAGAUGAGAAUUCUAAGGUGAGCGAGCGAACUCUCGUUAAGGAACUCGGCAAAAUGACCCCGUAACUUCGGGAGAAGGGGUGCUCUUUAGGGUUAACGCCCAGAAGAGCCGCAGUGAAUAGGCCCAAGCGACUGUUUAUCAAAAACACAGGUCUCUGCUAAACCGUAAGGUGAUGUAUAGGGGCUGACGCCUGCCCGGUGCUGGAAGGUUAAGAGGAGUGGUUAGCUUCUGCGAAGCUACGAAUCGAAGCCCCAGUAAACGGCGGCCGUAACUAUAACGGUCCUAAGGUAGCGAAAUUCCUUGUCGGGUAAGUUCCGACCCGCACGAAAGGCGUAACGAUUUGGGCACUGUCUCAACGAGAGACUCGGUGAAAUCAUAGUACCUGUGAAGAUGCAGGUUACCCGCGACAGGACGGAAAGACCCCGUGGAGCUUUACUGUAGCCUGAUAUUGAAAUUCGGCACAGCUUGUACAGGAUAGGUAGGAGCCUUUGAAACGUGAGCGCUAGCUUACGUGGAGGCGCUGGUGGGAUACUACCCUAGCUGUGUUGGCUUUCUAACCCGCACCACUUAUCGUGGUGGGAGACAGUGUCAGGCGGGCAGUUUGACUGGGGCGGUCGCCUCCUAAAAGG
rnacentral:rRNA from 1 species